UACGAAGGGUGCAAACGUUGCUCGGAAUUAUCGGGCGUAAAGCGCACGUAGGCGGCUCUGAAAGUUGGAUGUGAAAUCCCUCGGCUCAACCAAGGAAGUGCAUCCAAAACUGCAGAGCUUGAGUACUUAAGAGGAUCGCGGAAUUCCCGGUGUAGAGGUGAAAUUCGCAGAUAUCGGGAGGAACACCAAUGGCGAAGGCAGCUCGCUGGGACGUGACUGACGCUGAGACGCGAAAGCGUGGGGAGCAAACAGG
rnacentral:rRNA from 1 species